rnacentral:tRNA from 1 species
UGCCCCAUGGCCAAGUUGGUUAAGGCGUCCGACUGUUAAGCAUCGGCAUCGGGAGAUCGAGAGUUCGACCCUCUCUGGGGCAG